GACGAACGCUGGCGGCGUGCUUAACACAUGCAAGUCGAACGGAAAGGCCCUGCUUUUGUGGGGUGCUCGAGUGGCGAACGGGUGAGUAACACGUGAGUAACCUGCCCUUGACUUUGGGAUAACUUCAGGAAACUGGGGCUAAUACCGUAUAGGAGCUCCUGCUGCAUGGUGGGGGUUGGAAAGUUUCGGCGGUUGGGGAUGGACUCGCGGCUUAUCAGCUUGUUGGUGGGGUAGUGGCUUACCAAGGCUUUGACGGGUAGCCGGCCUGAGAGGGUGACCGGCCACAUUGGGCCUGAGAUACGGACCAGACUGCUACGGGAGGCAGCAGUGGGGAAUAUUGCACAAUGGGCGGAAGCCUGAUGCAGCAACGCCGCGUGCGGGAUGACGGCCUUCGGGUUGUAAACCGCUUUCGCCUGUGACGAAGCGUGAGUGACGGUAAUGGGUAAAGAAGCACCGGCUAACUACGUG
rnacentral:rRNA from 1 species